UACGGGGGGUGCGAGCGUUGUCCGGAAUCACUGGGCGUAAAGGGCGCGUAGGUGGCUUGGUAAGCGUGUGGUGAAAGCCCGGGGCUCAACCCCGGGUCUGCCAUGCGAACUGCUAUGGCUUGAGCACUGUAGAGGCAGGUAGAAUUCCGGGUGUAGCGGUGGAAUGCGUAGAGAUCCGGAAGAAUACCGGUGGCGAAGGCGGCCUGCUGGGCAGUGGCUGACACUGAGGCGCGGACAGCGGUGGGGAGCAAACAGG
rnacentral:rRNA from 1 species